rnacentral:rRNA from 1 species
UAGGGAAUCUUCCGCAAUGGACGAAAGUCUGACGGAGCAACGCCGCGUGAGCGAAGAAGGUCUUAGGAUCGUAAAGCUCUGUUGUCAGGGAAGAACAAGUGCCGUUCGAACAGGGCGGUACCUUGACGGUACCUGACGAGGAAGCCACGGCUAACUACGUGCCAGCAGCCGCGGUAAUACGUAGGUGGCAAGCGUUGUCCGGAAUUAUUGGGCGUAAAGCGCGCGCAGGCGGUUCCUUAAGUCUGAUGUGAAAUCUCGCGGCUCAACAGCGAGCGGCCAUUGGAAACUGGGGAACUUGAGUGCAGGAGAGGGGAGCGGAAUUCCACGUGUAGCGGUGAAAUGCGUAGAGAUGUGGAGGAACACCAGUGGCGAAGGCGGCGCUCUGGCCUGUAACUGACGCUGAGGCGCGAAAGCGUGGGGAGCGAACAGG